rnacentral:lncRNA from 1 species
UUUUGCUCAAAGUAUGUACCCUAAAUAUGAAUCACAAAAUUAUUACAAAGCUUGACAAAGAGAGCAAGAUGAAAACAAAACAUAAAUGGAGGAUCUAUCCUAGAAUCUAAGAGUGCAGUUUUAACUUCUUUUGGCAACCAAAUGUACAAGAUUAGAUGAAUAGCCAGUUACCAUUUGUUACCUUACUGUACUUAUGCUGUUAAAGGAUAAUUCAUGCAAACGUUUAAUAACACACCCAAAGGUGUUUUAGUGCAAAACCUUCAGCUGCUAUCACACAUAUAAAAUCAGUACUUGCUUAUGUGCUAAACGACUGUGUCCCAUUUUUGACAAUUUAAAACCAAGAAAAACUGGUUCACAAAACAAAAUCAGUAGAAAAAGGUUCUCAGAGUCUUCAGCUUGUUAUUCUGACUGGGAAUGUUUUUGCAAUGCCCCUUCCUAAAUGUCCUUCCCCUAAAUUGAAAUGUACUGAAUGGAUUGGCCCAUCAGAGGGCAGACUCUCACAGAACCUGCCAACAGAUGUUCAACAGCAACAUGUCAACAUUUCUAACUCACAUUUCUCUAAUCAUGUUUCAUGAAGUACUUUACUCUAGACUUUUAGCACCAGUUCCAGUUUUAGGGGAUGCAUUCAAUCAUCAGAGGAAUCGCCUGACAGGAGAAGGUCACCCUAUCCGAUGUCCUUGACGAUGUCAAAAUACCAAUCAUCCUCAUCCAGCUGAAGCAAAGGUGCCUGUGCUAACUUGGCCACUUACCCUGAAGACAUCCCCCCACAGUUAUCCUGCGGUAAUCCUGAACAGACAACUUGAAAGAAAAAUAAUUCAUGGGAAGUGGCUUUUUCAACUCAACCAGAUACAUCUAUGAGAGAAGACAGACUUUCCAGGUUCCAACUGCACAUUCACAGAUGGGAAUCAUUGUAAUAGUCCAAGACUGACCUGUUCCUCAGCUCCAGGAAACAUCCAAACCAUGUCUUCCCAUUGGUCCCUGCAAUUUUCCAAUUUUCCUGCAACAGCCCAAUUUCCUGUACACAGACAGAUACCAGAUACAUUCUAUAUAUGUAUAUGUACAGUAUAAAGUGAUUUUGUUUUCUAUAAAGGCUCCCAUAAAUAUGCUCAGCUGAUCAAAUACAUAAAUGUUUAUCAAUGGAAGUAAUGUGCUUUACUGGCCAAAAUGAAACAUAAAUACAGUAACAGCAGAAAAGGGUUUGGUAAAAGUGUGCCUCUGUUACAGAACAUAUUUGUAUUAUUUUGAGUAGUACGAAGGAACAAAAUUCACCUAAACAUUGAUUCCCUGAAUACAAACAUUAAAUAGGUGCAACAAAAGCAUUACACAGUAGUAUCACGGUCUAUCAACUGGCAACAGCAACAAUAAAAGAUGUAUAAUAACAUGCAGCUGUUCCAGCAUAUGUGAUCCAAGGAACUAGAAGCCAAACCAAUUUGUCAGCUUCACAACUUGUAUUUUAGUGGUUUUCGGGCUCUCCAUACAAUGAUGAAAACAUAAGGCCAACAUUGACAGAAACAAUAACAAUGACAUAUGAAAUUUAUGUUGCACCAACAAACUCACUUGGUCCCAAAGUAUAAAUGUAACACCUAAAAAAAUCACAAAACAAGUCAAACCAUUCAACGUCAAACUAAUUGUCGUAUGGAAAAAAUAUUUUUUGCAGGGUAUGGAAGGUUUUUUAAAAACACAACAAAGAGCCUAAGAAAAAAGAGCAAUCAAUCUUCAAUAAAUCUCUCUAAUUUCUCUCCAACAACCUUCUUCUUCUAAUGACAAGCUCUGUUUAUAACUCUUAGCUAAGGUCAAAAGCUUUGCAAUUUAUCAACUAUGAAGCGGAACAAAAACAGUGGAGUUCAUGCCAUGAACUCUAUAUGUGUGGUAAACACAGCACUUACGACAGAAUCAAAAGGAGAUUCGUUUUUUUCCCUUUUUGUACUUUUGUAAAUGCAAUGAGGCAAACCAACAAUGUUUCCAUCCACUAUGUAAAUGGAAAAAUAAAUAUUAUGCAAUGUUACAGUUCUGGUAUUAAAAAUUAAAA